UACGUAGGGUGCGAGCGUUGUCCGGAAUUAUUGGGCGUAAAGAGCUCGUAGGCGGUGUGUCGCGUCGGCCGUGAAAACCUGGGGCUUAACUCUGGGCGUGCGGUCGAUACGGGCAUCACUAGAGUUCGGCAGGGGAGACUGGAAUUCCUGGUGUAGCGGUGAAAUGCGCAGAUAUCAGGAGGAACACCGGUGGCGAAGGCGGUUCUCUGGGCCUUACCUGACGCUGAGGAGCGAAAGCAUGGGGAGCAAACAGG
rnacentral:rRNA from 1 species